rnacentral:tRNA from 1 species
GGCGGAUUAGCCAACUAUAUUAUGGC